AUCCACAGCUAAAGCAGCCUUUCAGGAGGUGACAGGCCCAAGACAAGCAAGUCUUUGUCAAAUGCUUGCGAUGACAAGGCCAAUGAGCUCCUCCUGCCCCUGAGAGGGCUCCAGCUGCUCCUGACCCUGGGCCUGGCUGUUCAUCUUCUCUUCAGCUUCAAUCUCUUCUGAUGUGGGGAUGGAGUUCUUCUUGGGGCGACCUUUGGGUUUUGUGGGUGCUUCCUGUCCACCUUUAAGAACCUACGUGAGUAAAAAAUUGUUAUUGAAUCUAAGAAAUAAUUCCUUCCCUCCACCUUUCCACUCCCAGUAUAACCUCACGUUGCAUCUAAACCAUCUGUUCCAGCAGUGAAAUUGCAGGAUUUGGCAAAAUAUAUUCUCAACCCAUCACCUCUGGUCUACAAAGACACCUCCAUUUUUUAAAUGCUCAACGCAUUUUUGGUCAACAUUAUAUAUUUUGGCAUUUAAUACAACAAUCAUAGGCAGCUUCAGAAUUCAACUUCAACAAUAAGGAAAGAAAUGAAAAUUAAAAUGUUAAUGCAAUAACUAUCAAGUUGACAAGCUAAAAAGACAACAAUAAUAUUUGUAGCAAGCAGGAAAAAAAACACACUGUAUGAAAGUGUGAUUGUUACACACUUUUCAAGACAACCUGAGAGUUCAAGUCAAAAGCCUUAAAAUGUGCAUGGCUUUUUGACACAGAAAGUCCUUAGGCUAAAUUCUAAAAAAUUAUCUAAGACUGAGACAAAGAUUGAUCUGCAAAAAUAUUCAUCACAAUAUUGGUUAUAACAGCAAAAGUUGGAGGGGGGUGAUAUCCUAAAAGUUUAGCCAUGUAAUUGGGUAGAAUUAUAGUAAAUCCCAAAGACAGAAUACUUGACAACCAUUACAAUUACUAUAUAGGAGAAUGUUUAAUAACACAGAAAAUAUUAUUCAUAUAGUUUUGUAAAAAACAGAUUCUUAGCAUAAUCCAGUUUGGAGGCUAGACAACCUAUACACCACCUUGUCUGCAGUGAUCUGUACACCACCUUGUUUGCAGGAUCAUGAAUCAUUUUUAAUCUUUGUUUUUUCUAUAUUUUCUAAACUUUCAACAAUGAUCAAACAUAAGUAUUUCUGUAAUCAGAAAAAAUAUGUUAUAAAACAUGUAGUCUUGUAGCGUUCGAAGAAGUAGUACAGCAGAGUUUAAAAAGCAUUUUGGCUUUGAUAGUAGAAAAACUGGGUUAAAUUCCAACUCUGCCACUUAUCAUCUUUGUCUUUGGGAAGUCCUUUAAAGGCCCUGAGUGUCCGUUUUCUAAUCUGUAAAAUGGGAAUAAUAAUACCUUGUAUUACAGGGUGACAGUGAGGGUGACCAACAGAUAAUGUGUAUGAAAGGACCAGAACGGCACCUGAAUGCUAACACACAGAUAUUAAGGGGACCUUUAACGAGGUAGAGAUGCUGACAGAAACCAACCCUGGGGAGAAGACGUUCCCUGUAUUUCUUUUCACCUUUAUAGGGCAGCGAGGGCCACAUAACUGAUGACUGUUUCCAUGAAGCUGAGAAACAAGUUUGGAUUCCCCAGCAUGAAUCUCCUCCCAGACACUGCUGCUCCCAUUAGCUGACUUUCUCAGCCUGAAGAUGUGAUGUUCCACUGGACCUCAGGCAAGGCCCCAAAUGCCAAGGCGCUGACUUGGAGAUGACUGGGGAGCAGGGACUGAGAAAGGACAAAUGCUCAGGGCUGUGCGGAGUCCCUGAAACUCAUAGAAUUCACUUUUGGCUUAUGUAUCCUGGCCUCCAAAUAUUUGGAUUCUCUGAAGACAUGGAUUUUGUGGCUAGGUAAUAAAAAUACUAAUAAUGAUAAUAAUAACGGCAAUAACAUCUCUUGGCUGUAUCCUAUAUGGCAGGUCCUAUUUACGUGUUUUACAGAGAUUAGCUCAGUUAAUAACACAACCCUACAAGGUACGUGUUAGGCCUUUUACUGGAGAGGAAACAGGCACACAGAGGUUAAGUAACCUGCCCAAGAUUACACAGAGAGCUACUGGUAACAAUUCAUGGAGUUGUUAACUAUUUGGGGACUUUUCAUGAGAAAGAUAAUGACCAUGAAUAGUGUGGGGCCCACGCAAUUCUGUCACUAGGAGAGAAAGGAGGUAUCUGUUUGGAUCCUCUCAUGGAAGAGAAUUGCAUUUUAGAGCUCAAAGAGACCACCAAAUAAUGAGGCUCUUUCAGCCUGUUGCAAAACACUGUGGGUCCUGCGGGAACUAAAGCCAACAGACAUGGAAUAGAGGGUGCGCAUCCCAUCUUAAAUAUGCAAGAUUAAAUUUACCCAACCCGCUAUAGGUUACCAAUGCUGACGGGUCAGAAUUCGUCAGAGAUGCUAUCUCGGUUCUGGCAAAGUUACCCUUGGCAGCCAUGUGAAUAAGUCUGAGAAUCAACUGCUAAUCUUUUUCCAGUUCCAAUUAGGUUACUAGCCUUGAGACAUCUUUAUUACUCAAUUAUCUUUUUCUUUUCCUCCCUGGUACCUAAACAGAUAGCCUUGAAAAGAGUUUUACUGGGAAACUAGAUGAAGCAAUCAGGAUCACAACACAGCCUUGCUAUUCCACUCUCUGCGCUGAUCCUAUAAAUUUCCCUGCUGCUGCCCUGACCGCUCCGUGAAAUAAUAAUACCAGUUUGCAGAUGUGUCUUCUGCACUUGACUGAGUACCUUUUUAUAAUUUUAUUUUCUGGUGGACAGGCUCAUGUCUUAUCUUUGCAUCUCCAUGGCCUGAUGAAUGUUAAAUGCUCAAUGAAUUAUCUCAAAAGUGAACUGACAGCUUGGGCCUCUUGGCUCCUAAAGGGACCUGAAGGUGACUGGCUUGCAGAAUGUUCUGAGGUUAGAUCUGCUAAGUUACUCUUCCAUUUUGGUUUACAUGGCAUUGAUACCCAUCAAUAACUGGCCCACAACCAUGCCAGCAACGCUGUUGCUGGUGAAAAACAAGUGACGUCAGAGACGAAGGCACACGCAUUGGCCCACGGGCACUGGGCGGUGCUGGCAGAGGAGGCUGCCUGUCGAUUCCUUAAUCAUCUGACUCACGAAAAGAUUGCUGAUAACCAAUUUAAACAAUGCCUCUGCUACUUAGGAGGCAUUGAUUUCAAUGCUGAUGACUGACGAGGAAGAAGGUGGGUGGUGGAUCUUGCACAGAAAGCAGUGAAGGGACUUGCCCAAAAUCAGCCAGGGAAGGGCAAGCAUGGGAACACGGCCGGGUGCUUCUCACUCUCAAGUCUAGUUCUUUAGAGACCAAUCCCCCAAAAGGUGUCCAUGUGUGCUUGGCACUGUAGAGUUUUUGGAAGACUAUUUAACCGAAUCCAUUCUUCCUUCAAUUUCUUGGUUUUUUAUUUUAUUUUUAUUAUUUAUUUAUUUAUUUUAUUUUUAUUUUUUGAGACGGAGUCUUGCUCCGUGGCCCAGACUGGAGAGCAAUGGUGUGAUCUUGGCUCACUGCAACCUCUGCCUCCUGGAUUCAAGUGAUUCUCUGGCCUCAGCCUCCCAAGUCGCUGGGAUUACAGGCAACCAACACCACACCCAGCUAAUUUUGUAUUUUUAGUAGAGGCGGGACUUCACCAUGUUUGCCAGGCUGGUUUCAAACUCCUGACCUCAUGUGAUCCACCCACCUCGGCCUCCCAAACUGAUGGGAUUACAGGCGUGAGCCACCGUGCCGGGCCACUUCCUUCAAUUUCAACUUCUCCCGGCCACCUUCUCCAUUACCUCUCUUCUGAACUCCGAUGGGCUUAUAAAUCCGUAACAACCAGCACUUAAUUAUAACAUGCUCGGCAGCUACCUCCUGGGCCUUGUUUCUCUGACUACAUCAUAAAUUCCAUGAAGGCAAGGGUGAUAUUUUAUUUAAUUACUUCUUAUAGUGCCUAGGACAAGGAAUGGCUCACAAGAGACACAAAAUAUAUAUUUGCUGACUCAUGCAAUAUCCAUAUGUUUGAACACAUAACUGGCAUCUCUGUCUUAAUUCGUGGGCACUUCAUGAGCCAAGUCGCCUCCAUUUUGAAAACCCUUUCAUUUCAGGGUCAGGUCCCCCCAGAGGAAAUUACAAGAUUUGCCCAGGAAUUUCUUUUUUGGGAAUAUAAUAAUUGCUGCUUGUUGACUUUUUUCCUAAUUUUUCCCAUUGAUGUUCAUCUGCAAUUUACUUAUUUUGUUUUUUUUUUUCUCCUCAUUGUUAGCAGAAAAUAGCAAGGAAUAGCAAGAACUAAAAGCUUAAGAAAAAACAAUAUUGGACAAAACCACAACAUUGAGAAAACAUCUAUCCACUGACUUUUUUUUUUUCCUGAAAACUGGGGUUGGCAGAACCCCGUAGUUAUUUGAUUAUUGUGAAAAACAUCAUAUUUUAGCCCUGAAACACCAAGACAUAGGGCCUGUGACCAGACAGGUUAGCAAAUUAGAAUGUCAUCAUGAAGGCAUGGCAUGGACGAGAGGAGAAAGAGCCACUAACGUUUGGUGAGGGGGUAAGAAGCCUAUGGCAGGUGGCAUGGUGGCACCUGGGCUCCAGAGAACAGCAGGGCUUCUUCCCUUAUCGCCACCCCUCCUCGUUUUCUUUUGCUCUGGGCUUUGACCUUGUCUCAGUGGUUUACAAAGCUGAGAAAGGAAACACUCAACUACUUUGGAAAAUUUUGAUUUAAUAGUGCCCUUUUUAGUGAAAAGAAUAAAUGAUAAUGAAAUUGAGUUCCUCACAACGUAGGGAUGUAUCUAUUCUAAUACUUAAAAAUCAAAGAUGGAAAUAUUCAUUAGCUAGGCACUAGAGCAGGAUGAUGGAAACUGUGGUCAUCAUACCAGGCACUUCAGAAUAACCAGGGCUCUUGUUAACACGCACAUUCCCAGCCUUGGCCCAGACCUCUGGGACCAGAAUCCUGGGAGGGGGCCUAGAGUUCUGCAUUUAACCUGCUACCCAGGGGACGCUAAUGCCCACCAAAGUUUGAGGAUCACUGCGUUAGAGGACGCACAGCCAAAAGAACAGAUGCAUCCUCUACGUCAUUAUAAACAAAGAGUACUGACUUCUAUUUUUAGCUCUUGGUGGGAGGAAGAAGGAAGUUGUUUGAAAAGGCUAGCAGGUAGGGUUAAAACUAGCAAGUUAGGAGAAAUACCUAAUGUAGAUGACGGGUUGAUGGGUGCAGCAAACCACCAUGGCAAAUGUAUACCUAAGUAACAAAACUGCAUGUUCUGCACAUGUACCCUAGAACUUAAGUAUAAUAAUAAAACUAGCAAGUUAAAAGCCUGUAAGCUUUUUUUCCUUUGAUUUCUAAGGAAACAGAAAAAGAAUAUCCCUCUGUUUAGGAACUCCAGGUCAAGAGGAAUAGCUCAACCUACAGAUCCAACAGCUUCCCCGCAAGCCAGCAGCAUAGAAGGCCUUCCAAUCUCUGCAGCCCAAACUGCCAAAUGGUCCGGCCUCCCUCCCAACAGCCCUGGAGUAAAAGUCCUUCCCAUCAGGAAGGGAUCAUGGUUAGUCACUCCUUUCUUACCAUUUUCUUCCAUUUCAUCCUGCGAUUCUGAUACCAGGUCUUCACCUGCAGCUGAGUGAGUCCCAGAGACUGAGCCAAGUCCAACCUAG
rnacentral:lncRNA from 1 species